rnacentral:rRNA from 1 species
GACGAACGCUGGCGGCGUGCUUAACACAUGCAAGUCGAACGGAAAGGCCCUGCUUGCUGGGUACUCGAGUGGCGAACGGGUGAGUAACACGUGGGUGAUCUGCCCUGCACUUCGGGAUAAGCCUGGGAAACUGGGUCUAAUACCGGAUAGGAGCCAUUUUUAGUGUGAUGGUUGGAAAGUUUUUUCGGUGUAGGAUGAGCUCGCGGCCUAUCAGCUUGUUGGUGGGGUAAUGGCCUACCAAGGCGGCGACGGGUAGCCGGCCCGGGAGGGUGGACGGCCACAGUGGGACUGAGAUACGGCCCAGACUCCUACGGGAGGCAGCAGUGGGGAAUAUUGCACAAUGGGCGCAAGCCUGAUGCAGCGACGCCGCGUGGGGGAUGACGGCCUUCGGGUUAGAAACUCAUUUCGCUAGGGACGAAGCUUUUUGUGACGGUACCUAGAUAAGAAGCACCGGCUAACUACGUG